UGACAGUGUAGGGUGCAAGAACUAAAAGGGCAUAAAUGCUGCACUAAGGUUCUAGAGAAAAUCCUGGAUAGGUGGGCAGGAUGUAACAGAGUCAAAUUCCCCACAGGAAGCCUCUAAGUGAGCUACUUGUAAAGUAUGGUCUGCCAUAACUUCAGAAAUAAAAUCCACAGAGGGCUCUUAUGAAAUGAAGAAAUGAGCUUCAGAGCAGAGACUUCUAAAUAAUAAGUUUUGUUAAUGGUUUUUCAGUUUGGCAAUUUAUGUUUGUUUGUUUGCUUAGAUGGGGGCCUCAUGGGGACUUAGGCUUGUGAAUCAAUUUCCAGACUUGAGCCAGUUUGCAGAUCCAGAACCUCUUGAAUGAAAGGGAGGCCAGGCUCUCCUGAGGAAGAAUAUUUAUACAAAACUUAAAUGUUUUACUGUUAGCCUUUUCCCAGUCUUUCUCCAGAGGGAAACUGUACAGAGUAACUGGGGAAAGGAAACCUCCCAGCUAAGUGGAGGCUUAUGGGGGUCAGGUGAUUAAUGGAGGUUUUGUCAAUAUCCUACUCACAGAGGUCCAGUAUGUCCUCAAAUUCAUAUCAUGAUUAUUUGCCUAGAUAUACUUAGAUGUUGGCAGGACUCUCACAUUGGUCUCCCGACCUGUGAAGUGUGACUAUUAUGGUUGGAAAGGCUAAAUGGAAGCCUUUACAGAUGUUUCAGCCAAGGAAAAUAGUGUUUUAAAAACAGUAUUGCAUCCUUGGAGGAAUUGUGGAAAUUAAUGUCAUCAAGGACUUGAAAUAUGCAUGUAAAGAUGCAGGGGUGGUGGUUCCCACCAUAUCUCCCUUUAACUCUCCUAUCUUGCCACCACAGAAGACAUAUGGAUUGUGGAGAGAGACAGUUGACUAUCAUAAACUCAAUCAAGUAGUGAAUCUGAUUGUAGCUUCUAUGUAAGAUAUGGUGUCCUUGCUUGAGCAGAUUAACAGCUGGUACAUGGUGUGCUAGAUAGUUCUACGUCACCUUGACACAAACUAAAAUCAUCUGAGAGGAGACUAAAGUAAGAAAAGGAAAAUGUCUCCAUAAUAUCGGGCUGCAGGCAAGCCUCUAGGCCACUUCAGUAGUGAUUGAUGGGGUAGGCACAGCCCAUUGUGUUCCUGCAUUCAAUAAGAAGGCAGGCUAACAACCUACGAGGAGCAAGCUAGUAAACAGCACUCUGCCACGGCCUCUGCAUCAGCUUCUGCCCCAGGUUUGGACCCAGCUGUGUUUCUGCCCUGACUUCCUUCAGUGAUAGACUAGUAUGUGGAAGUAUAAGCCAAAUACCAUCCCUAAAACUUGCCUUUGCUCACGAUAUCUCAUCCUAGCAAUGGUAUCCUUAACUAAAACAAGAGAUAAACGGCAAAAGGCAGCAAUCAAGAUAAACCACUUUGAUUUCUUAGUAAAACUCAGGGUUUUUUUUUUUGUUGUUGUUGUUUGUUUUUUGUUUAUUCUGUUGCCUGUUUUUCUCCUUGGGUGUGUCUCUCUCCAUAUCCUGAUAUUUGACAGACUGGCCUUUUAGAAAAUUGCUCUGGGAAUUUCUUCCAAGUAUUUGCUUGAUUUUCUUCUGUUCUCCAUCACAAAAAAGUAUUACCAUGUAUGAUGGAGAAUUGAUAAAAUUUCUGUCUUCCUGUAAAUGCUCGUUGUGUGUGGGCUACAUAAAAUAUUUGAACUAUUUCUUA